UACGCAGGAUGCAAGCGUUAUCCGGAAUGAUUGGGCGUAAAGCGUCCGCAGGUGGCUGUGUAAGUCUGCUGUUAAAGAGUGAGGCUCAACCUCAUAAAAGCAGUGGAAACUACACGGCUAGAGUGCGUUCGGGGCAGAGGGAAUUCCUGGUGUAGCGGUGAAAUGCGUAGAUAUCAGGAAGAACACCGGUGGCGAAAGCGCUCUGCUAGGCCGCAACUGACACUGAGGGACGAAAGCUAGGGGAGCGAAUGGG
rnacentral:rRNA from 1 species